CCUUGUGCCAGGCCUGUGGGCCCAUUCCCAACAUCAGGGGGCUCUGCUGCCGAUAGCUGCAACCUCCUCAAAGGGCAUCCAGUACAGGUACUUACGGUUAAUUUUUUAUGCGAUGAACAGGCAACAUAGCAGGACUGAUCAGGCUGCAAGCAUCCAGACGGCAAAAGAAUAAAAAGACAAAUGCUAAAGAAAUGUACAUGGAGGUGUCUGGGCUGUCUGCAUUUGACCUCCUGCUUCCCUGUAAGCUCCCUGGAAGUACCACAGCUCUUCAUGACACACAAGCGGCAAGCCGAAUGCAACUCUGAUUUGAUGGCAAUAAUUGCUGUACUAAUCAGUCUGGGAAUACACUUCAGG
rnacentral:lncRNA from 1 species